CUUUUUUUUUUUUUUUUUUCGCCUCAGCUGAAUAACUAAAGAUAUACCAACAAGGGGAAAGAUAAAGCCAAAUAAAUGGCAAGAUAGACAAAUCAUAAGUGAGAAGCAUGGGAGGCAUAAACAAAGAAGAUAAGGUGUGACAAAAGUGCAUAACAGCUUGCAGCACAUCAAGAGUAAAUUAAAGCCUCAGGCAAGGUAAACAAACAAGAAGGAAUCAUCCAAAUAAAGUUGUUAUUUCUUUUCAAUUUAGAUAUUUUAUGGCUAUUUUUUUUUCUCAAAGUUCAGCUGAAAAGACAAAAUCGCCAAAUAAUAUUAUAAGAAACCAAGAAAGAAUCUAGAACUAGAAACAAAGCAUGUAUUAGAAGAACCGUUAGAUAUUUUCAUAAUCCUACCUUUUUGUUCUAGUAAGAAGAAAUAUAGUUAUUUUGCCAAUAAUGUAAAUGUCAGAACCUGAAUAAUCCAACUGCAUC
rnacentral:misc_RNA from 1 species